UACAGAGGGGGCAAGCGUUGUUCGGAAUUACUGGGCGUAAAGGGCGCGUAGGCGGCCUGUUAAGUCGGACGUGAAAUCCCCGGGCUCAACCCGGGAACUGCGUCCGAUACUGGCAGGCUUGAAUCCGGGAGAGGGAUGUGGAAUUCCAGGUGUAGCGGUGAAAUGCGUAGAUAUCUGGAGGAACACCGGUGGCGAAGGCGGCAUCCUGGACCGGCAUUGACGCUGAGGCGCGAAAGCGUGGGGAGCGAACAGG
rnacentral:rRNA from 1 species